CUACUGGGGUAUCUAAUCCUGUUCGCUACCCACGCUUUCGUCCAUCAGCGUCAAUAUAAUGUUAGUAACCUGCCUUCGCAAUUGGUAUUCCAUGUAAUAUCUAAGCAUUUCACCGCUACACUACAUAUUCUAGUUAUUUCACAGUAAUUCAAGUCUUACAGUAUCAAUGGCAGUUCGACAGUUGAGCUGCCGGAUUUCACCACUGACUUAUAAGACCGCCUACGGACCCUUUAAACCCAAUGAUUCCGGAUAACGCUUGGAUCCUCCGUAUUACCGCGGCUGCUGGCAC
rnacentral:rRNA from 1 species